rnacentral:rRNA from 1 species
CAGUAGCCACGGGAAUACGAAGGGUGCAAGCGUUAAUCGGAAUUACUGGGCGUAAAGCGCGCGUAGGUGGUUUGGUAUGAUGGAUGUGAAAUCCCCGGGCUCAACCUGGGAACUGCAUCCAUAACUGCCUGACUAGAGUACGGUAGAGGGUGGUGGAAUUUCCUGUGUAGCGGUGAAAUGCGUAGAUAUAGGAAGGAACACCAGUGGCGAAGGCGACCACCUGGACUGAUACUGACACUGAGGUGCGAAAGCGUGGGGAGCAAACAGGAUUAGAUACCCGCGUAGUCCCUGUCUCUUAUAC